rnacentral:rRNA from 1 species
CACCUCCAGCAUUUCUAGUAUUGGAGGCACUGCCUGCCCAGUGACACUUGUUUAACGGCCGCGGUAUCCUGACCGUGCAAAGGUAGCAUAAUCAUUUGUUCUCUAAAUAAGGACUUGUAUGAAUGGCCACACGAGGGUUUAACUGUCUCUUACUCCCAAUCAGUGAAAUUGACCUUCCCGUGAAGAGGCGGGAAUGCCACAAUAAGACGAGAAGACCCUAUGGAGCUUUAAUUAACUAACCCAAACUUAUGGAUACUAAAUACCUACAAGGCAUAACAUUACACCAUUAUUGUGGGUUAGCAAUUUAGGUUGGGGUGACCUCGGAAUAUAAAAAAACUCCCGAGUGAUUAAAAUUUAGACCCACAAGUCAAAAUACAACAUCACUUAUUGAUCCAAUAAUUUUUGAUCAACGGAACAAGUUACCCUAGGGAUAACAGCGCAAUCCUAUUCAAGAGUCCAUAUCGACAAUAGGGUUUACGACCUCGAUGUUGGAUCAGGACAUCCUAAUGGUGCAGCAGCUAUUAAGGGUUCGUUUGUUCAACGAUUAAAGUCCU